rnacentral:rRNA from 1 species
GACGAACGCUGGCGGCGUGCCUAAUACAUGCAAGUAGAACGCACAGUUUAUACCGUAGCUUGCUACACCAUAAACUGUGAGUUGCGAACGGGUGAGUAACGCGUAGGUAACCUGCCUGGUAGCGGGGGAUAACUAUUGGAAACGAUAGCUAAUACCGCAUAAUAUUGAUUAUUGCAUGAUAAUUGAUUGAAAGAUGCUAUUGCAUCACUACCAGAUGGACCUGCGUUGUAUUAGCUAGUAGGUGAGGUAACGGCUCACCUAGGCGACGAUACAUAGCCGACCUGAGAGGGUGAUCGGCCACACUGGGACUGAGACACGGCCCAGACUCCUACGGGAGGCAGCAGUAGGGAAUCUUCGGCAAUGGACGAAAGUCUGACCGAGCAACGCCGCGUGAGUGAAGAAGGGUUUCGGAUCGUAAAGCUCUGUUGUAAGGGAAGAACGGGUGUGAGAGUGGAAAGUUCACACUGUGACGGUAUCUUACCAGAAAGGGACGGCUAACUACGUG